rnacentral:misc_RNA from 1 species
GAACUACGUUAAACGGUGAGAAUUGCAGAACACGCAGAACACUGGAACUUUGAACGCACCUGGCAGGAUAGUGUUACAACUAGCCUUUGUCUGUGUGAGGGUUGUAGUCAGAGAAUGAAAGCUACUUUUGGAAGAGCGGGGAGGUUGCCUGUUGAAUGUGUGACAUGCCCGCUGGUCGCAAUAGACACACUUGUGUUGCGCCUCUGGCAGGAGUCGGAGGCAACUGGGCGAGUGUUGGGAUUGAGGAGUUUGCUGGAGUUGACACGCAGUUGAGGGUGUGAUCAGAAACAGUAGUUCCCUGUCCUGAGCUUCUUUCUCACAACCUCACAUCAGGCAAGAUUACCCGCUUAAUUUAA